rnacentral:rRNA from 1 species
UACGCAGGCGGCGGCGUUGGCCCGGCGUGAAAGCCCCCGGCUCAACCGGGGAGGGUCGUCGGGGACCGCGUCGCUUGAGGGUAGCAGGGGUUGGUGGAAUGCCCGGUGUAGUGGUGAAAUGCGUAGAGAUCGGGCGGAACACCCGUGGCGAAGGCGGCCAACUGGGCUAACCCUGACGCUGAGGUACGAAGGCGUGGGGAGCGAACG